rnacentral:rRNA from 1 species
CCUACGGGUGGCAGCAGUGAGGAAUAUUGGUCAAUGGGCGGGAGCCUGAACCAGCCAAGUCGCGUGAAGGAAGAAGGUACUUAGUAUUGUACACUUCUUUUGUCGGGGAACAAAGGCGGAGACGCGUCUCCGGUUUAGUGUACCCGAAGAAAAAGCAUCGGCUAACUCCGUGCCAACAGCCGCGGUAAUACGGAGGAUGCGAGCGUUGUCCGGAUUUAUUGGGUUUAAGGGGUGCGCAGGCGGGGGAUAAAGUCUGCGGUAAAAUGUCGGGGCUCAACCCCGGCCGGACGUUGAAACUGGUUUUCUAGAGUUGGAGGGAGGUAUGCGGAAGUCGUGGUGUAGCGGUGAAAUGCAUAGAUAUCACGAAGAACUCCGAUUGCGAAGGCAGCAUACCGGCUCCAUACUGACGCUGAGGCACGAAAGCGUGGGGAUCGAACAGGAUUAGAUACCCUUGUAGUC